UACCCUAUACUCUGAAGUGAGAGAUAGUGGUGCAGAUAAGAGGGGCCCAGCUAGGUCCAUGCUUGAAAGGCCGGCAGCAGGGGCAGAGCCAACGGGGGCAGUGGCUGUGGCAGGAACACUGGAGGACAAGCUGGGGGUGUCUUUCCCUUCAUCUGCCGGUGGAGCCCCCCACCCUCUGGGAGAUUUUACAGGACCUGCUCCAGGAACCUUCCCUCUGGUUAGACCCUCCAUCCUGCUCGGGCUGCCUCCUCUCAGGACACUCCCUGCUGGCUUUAAGUCACCUGCCUCCAUCCCCAGAGGAGUAGCCCUGCUGGGGUUUCCUGGGACAUGGAGCUCAUCCAUACAUGUCUGGUUUCCAGGUGCCUUCGUCUGUGAGGCACUACACUAAGGUGGCCACCAGGAGCCCAGCAAGGCAGAGUGAGCACCCUCCAGGAGAGUCCUGGAUGGGGAGACAGACGCUCAUCAACGGUCACGUCUGUGUAUAAUCGCACCCUGGAAGGAGGAGUACAGAGAGAUCUAGCUGGAAUAUAUUGAAAUAUGAAUCACCUCCUGAGAGGAAAAAGGGAAAAGAAACGGAGAGAAGUCCUUCUCAAAAUGUGCUGCCACACCUAUGCCCAGGGGCACUCACCCAGGCCUGGGCUUUAAACAUGUCUCCACGGGGCUGAAGACCAGAAGGGUGUCUUGGUCCUGAGCUCCAGACCCUCCCACUGGACCGCCCACAGGUGGCAUCACCACAGGGAUGUCCGGUAAGCGGCUCAAAGUCAGCGUGUUCUGACGGAGUUCCCUCCACCUUCCCCAUCUCAGUAACAGACUCCAUCCUUCCAGCUGCUCCAGCUGAGAAUGUAGACACCAUUCUAUACUCCUCCCUUUCCUUUGUUGUCUUUCUCUUUAAUCCACCAAGUCCCAUUGGUUCUACCUUCAAAAUAUAUCCCAAAUCUUCAAACCCCAAAUCUGUCCACAUCAGUCCAUCUGCACUGCCCGCCGCCCCCAGACCACUGUCACCCUAACAGGUCUCCUUGCUUUCCUGGCAGCCCCAUCACCACCACGGCCACAAGGAUCUUGCAGACUGUAAGUGCUAUCACCUUACUUUCCUCUUGAACUCUGCCAGUGGUUUCCCAGUGCAACAGAAUGAAAUGCAAACUCCUUACCAACCCACAGCGUCCUCCUGACGGCCCCCACUGCCUCUGCAGCCCCAUCCUGCAGCCCUCUCCCCAUCUCCAGCUGCACUAGCCUUCCUGUUCCUCGACCACAGCAAGCUUAUUCUUUCUUACCUUGGCAGUUUUGUUAUGUUUUAUGGCAAAGUGCACAUAACAUAAAAUAUACCAUUUUAACCAUUUUAAAGCAUACAAUUUGAUGGCAUUUAGUACAUUCGGUGUUAUACACCAUCACCAAUAUUUAGUUCUAGAACAUUCUGAUCAUCCCAAAGGGAAACCCCAUACCCAUUAGCAGUCACUCCCCAUUCUUCCUCCCUCCCAGCCCCUGGCAACCAUUAAUCUGCUUUCUGUCUCUGUGGAUUUAUCUAUUCUGGAGAUUUCAUGCAAAUAGGAUCAUACAGUAUGUUUGCCUUGGAGUUUAGCACCGACUAUUCCUGCAUGAACCCUUCUGCCCCAGGCCCUUGCAGGAACACCUCCUUCUUAGCGUGUAGGACUCAGCUUAAGCACCACCUCCCUCUCUAAAGCAGAUGCCCCCAUCCACCCCAGUCGCUUUUGAUUACAUAAGUACCCUGCUCUAUUUCUCUCUUAGCACUUCACACUCUCUGAGAGUAUGUCAGCUAAUUAUUUGUUGACAUGUUUAUUGUCUUUCUCCUUGUCUUCUUGCUCCCUGAGAUGUCCUCAGCCCCCAGGACAGUGCCAGGCACCUAGGAGGCACUCAGCAGUUACCUGUGGAUUGACCCAAGUGCACCAUCGGCUCUGUGAUGGAGCGUCCACAAUGCCAUGGCAGCGCGGGUGAGGGGGAUCAGCAGUACAGCCGGGAAGGUGGAGGAGGCACAGCAGGAGGGCAACUUCUGAGGGGGAGCAGAGGUUCUGCUGGCAUUCAAGGGGCAAGAGGGAGAGCAUUUGGGUGGCAGAAACCACAUGGUCAAAGGGUCGGAGGCAGGGAGAGAGCAUGUCCAGUUUGAAGUCGUAUGCCGUCUUCUCCCAAGUUUCAGUUUGUUCCCUGAUUGUCUCACUAGACUCUCACGGAAAAGAGAUGCAAUAUAUGUCUGGGAUUGGCAUUUGGGUUUGAUACAAGAUAUAAGGUACUGACAGGAAAGAAGGGAUACAAUCUUUUCUGUUUUGUUUCUUCUCCCCCCACCCUGGUCCUAACAUGUGCUGGACACCCCACCUCCACCCCCACCCCAGACACAAAGGAAAACAGACUGGUUCCAAGUUUUUUGAUUUUGAGUCAUCCUGCAACCACCUGUAAGAGACUGGGAAGGUGGGAGGGAGGGCAGGAUGGUGUAUGUUACAGACAAUUGUCAACUGUGGUUUGAGGAUCCCAGGAGGGGCAGACCUGGAAUGGGCCCAUGGAGUCCUUUCUGGGCUGAGCCACCAGCCCCCAUGGGCACUGGACUGACUGUGAGCCUAGUGCCUUCAUUUCUGGUGAUCAGGCUUGGCUGAUCCAGGCCCUGUGGCUCUGGGAGUCCAGCUGAGCUCCCAGGAGAGGCCUUUCCCCAAAGCUGGGAGACUCAGGGCAAAUUCAAUUGUGUGCAAGGCAGGAACCAUUAGCCUGUCUGUGGACAUGGCCCCCACCCCACUCCCCUCCCCUCUGCCAGCCAGGCCUGUCCAGCUGGCCUCUGCCAGAUCCCAGCUUCCCACCACUCAAGGGCCCCUGCUGCCCCUGGGCUGCGCCCAGCCUCCUCUGUCCCUUGGUGCCCUAGAGCUCCCAUCCCUCCUGCCUUAGGAUCAGAGUAGAUUUUGAGCUGAGAAGGAAAACAAAUCCUUGGGGAAUCUUCCCCCUCCAUGGAGGCAAGCCUGGCGCUUGGCCCGUACCACCCUCAAGCAUCUGUGUGCAAUCGCCCUCAGGAGUCCUAAUGGGGAAGAGGCCCUGGAAGCAGGCGGGUCCAUCAGAACAGAGAAUUCUGUCCAGUGCAGAAGCAGCUACCCACACUGUGGCUUCUGAACAUUAGAAGUGUGGCUAUUUCAAAGACAGUAUGAAAAUGAAUGCUUGGUAUAUUGAUUACAUGUUGAAAUUAUACUAUUUUGAAUAUAUUGGGUUAAUUUAAAA